GUAUGGGGCCAGGUAUGGGGUGUGGGGUCAGAUAUAGGGUGAGGUGUGGGGUGUGGGGUCAGGUGAGGGGAAUGGGGUCAGGUAUAUGGUAUGGGGUCAGGUAUGGGAUAUAGGGUCAGCUAUGGGGUCAGGAAUGGGGUCAGGUAUGGGGUAUGGGGUCAGAUAUGGGGUAUAUGGGGUCAGGUAUGGGAUAUGGGGUCAGGUAUGGGGUCAGGUAUGGGGUCAGGUAUGGGAUGUGGGGUCAGAUAUGGGGUAUAUGGGGUCAGGUAUGGGAUAUGGGGUCAGGUAUGGGAUAUAGGGUCAGCUAUGGGAUAUAGGGUCAGCUAUGGGGUCAGGUAUGGGGUCAGGUAUGGGGGUGUGGGGUCAGAUAUGGGGUAUAUGGGGUCAGGUAUGGGGUAUAGGGUGGGGUAUGGGGUCAGGGAUGGGGUUAUGGGGGGGUAUGGGGUCAGGCGGGUGGUAUGGGGUCAGAUAUGGGAUAUAGGGCGGGAUUUGGCGUCAGGGGUGGGAUAUGGGGUUAGGGGUGGGAUAUAGGGUGGAAUAUGGAGUCAGGGGUGGCGUAUGGGGUGGGAUAUGGGGUCAGAUAUGGGAUACAGGGUGGGAAUAUGGGGUCAGCUAUGAGGUGUGGGAUAUGGGGUCAAGGGUGGGAUAUGGGGUGGGAUAUGGGGUCAGAUAUGGGAUAUGGGGC